CCUUCGGGGUGUUUNAAUGGCGAACGGGUGAGUAACACGUGGGCAAUCUGCCCUUCACUCUGGGACAAGCCCUGGAAACGGGGUCUAAUACCGGAUACGACACACGACCGCAUGGUCUGUGUGUGGAAAGCUCCGGCGGUGAAGGAUGAGCCCGCGGCCUAUCAGCUUGUUGGUGGGGUGAUGGCCUACCAAGGCGACGACGGGUAGCCGGCCUGAGAGGGCGACCGGCCACACUGGGACUGAGACACGGCCCAGACUCCUACGGGAGGCAGCAGUGGGGAAUAUUGCACAAUGGGCGAAAGCCUGAUGCAGCGACGCCGCGUGAGGGAUGACGGCCUUCGGGUUGUAAACCUCUUUCAGCAGGGAAGAAGCGAAAGUGACGGUACCUGCAGAAGAAGCGCCGGCUAACUACGUGCCAGCAGCCGCGGUAAUACGUAGGGCGCAAGCGUUGUCCGGAAUUAUUGGGCGUAAAGAGCUCGUAGGCGGCUUGUCACGUCGGAUGUGAAAGCCCGGGGCUUAACCCCGGGUCUGCAU
rnacentral:rRNA from 1 species